GAAACUUCGGUCGAUUUAAUUUAAUUCUAGUGGCGGACGGGUGAGUAACGCGUGGGUAACCUGCCUUAUACAGGGGGAUAACAGUCAGAAAUGGCUGCUAAUACCGCAUAAGCGCACAGAGCUGCAUGGCUCGGUGUGAAAAACUCCGGUGGUAUAAGAUGGACCCGCGUUGGAUUAGCUUGUUGGUGGGGUAACGGCCCACCAAGGCGACGAUCCAUAGCCGGCCUGAGAGGGUGAACGGCCACAUUGGGACUGAGACACGGCCCAGACUCCUACGGGAGGCAGCAGUGGGGAAUAUUGCACAAUGGGGGAAACCCUGAUGCAGCGACGCCGCGUGAAGGAAGAAGUAUCUCGGUAUGCAAACUUCUAUCAGCAGGGAAGAUAGUGACGGUACCUGACUAAGAAGCCCCGGCUAACUACGUGCCAGCAGCCGCGGUAAUACGUAGGGGGCAAGCGUUAUCCGGAUUUACUGGGUGUAAAGGGAGCGUAGACGGUGUGGCAAGUCUGAUGUGAAAGGCAUGGGCUCAACCUGUGGACUGCAUUGGAAACUGUCAUGCUUGAGUGCCGGAGGGGUAAGCGGAAUUCCUAGUGUAGCGGUGAAAUGCGUAGAUAUUAGGAGGAACACCAGUGGCGAAGGCGGCUU
rnacentral:rRNA from 1 species